GCAAGAGGAGUUCAGUCACGCCCCUUUCCUGAGGGGAGGGGGAGGAGUUCCCCCCCCCCCUCCAGACCUGAUUGAAGACUGCAACACUCAGGUCGGGAAGACUUCAUGGAUGGAGCCCAGGAGAGUAUAAAAGGAGCUGCGUGCCCAUCAUGAGGGAACACCUCUGGGACAGAGAAGAGCAGUGGCUUAGAAGAGUAGAGGAGAGCUGCUCAGCAGGGCGAAGCAGUAGCCCAGAAGUGCCCCUGAAGACUUCUAUCAGCGGAGAACAGCAGACAGCUCCAGCAGCUCGGCUCUUGGUGUGCAGCAUGGCGCAUGGCGUCCAGACCCUGGGAGCUGCGUGAGGCAGCUCAGGUCUGCAACCUCUGGUGUGCGGCCAGAGACACAGUGCACAGGCCGGUGCAUGGAGUAGGACCUUUGGAGCACUUGGGCAGCUCAGGUCCUCAACCUCUGGAAUGAGGCUGGGAGCUCGGUGCAGGAUGUGCUGCACGGAGGGUCCAGGAGUGAACCGAGCCUGGUGCUGCAUGAGGCAGCGCAGGCCUCCGACCCAUAGCAAAAGGUUGAGUCCAGAGAGCCAGAUGGUGAUCGGGCUACUGAGCCAGCCGACAGGGCCGAGCCAGAGGCCCCAGAAGCCCUGCAUAGAGGAGCCCUGUUCCAGGGGACAGCGACCCCCCCCACCCCCUGAAGCCCACUGCAGGCCAAAUCCUCCUGUUCAGCACUGCAGGGUUCAGUUGCUGGUGGCAGUUUCGCAGCUCUGGGGACUCCGUGUUCUCUGCCACGAGGAGCCAGGGGCAUCCGUGGUUCCUCUCCCUGCACAGGACUGGAUGGAGUCAGGUCAGAGGCAGAGCAGGUUUAAGCUCUGCAUACAUAUACUGAGGGCAAUGGUUAAGAUCCACCGUGGAUACAAUUCCGGAGAGUUAUAAUAAUAAAUGACUGAUAGUUCAA